GUCACGGCUCACCCUCCCGCCUCCGGAAAGCUAACUUUAUUUUUAUUGGUAGAAAGACAUCUUCCUGUGCACCUGAUUGGAUAUUUCUAGAGCCAGCAAGACGACUCAAAGGAUGAGAGCAGGUGCCAUGAAAGCUUGAGAGCCAUCGCUUCUACAAACCAUGCGAAGAAAGCACAGAUGUGGUGGCACAAAUCUGUCAGACCGCUACUACGAAGGUGAGCAAAGAAGGAGUUACAUUCUAAAGACAGCUACUGGCUGAAAAUGUUACUAGAAAGAAGAAGAAAUACACCACAGAUUCGUUAUUAACUGUCUAGCUGACUAUCUGUGGUGGACUCGUCACGUAGCUUGGAUGUAUCAUUUAACUUAGAGAAACAAAAGGCAUCAUAGAAAGGCCACCUGGAUCCAGUUCAGUCCCUUUUGUCUACCUUGCCAUGAAAGGACCACUGAAUCCAGCACCCCAAAGCACAUGCAGGAGGUGAACUUUUUAUUUUAUUUUUAAAUUAACGUACCUGAAAGACUAAAUGGCUUGC